rnacentral:rRNA from 1 species
UAACGCGAAGAACCUUACCUACUCUUGACAUCCAGAGAAUUUAGCAGAGAUGCUUUAGUGCCUUCGGGAACUCUGAGACAGGUGCUGCAUGGCUGUCGUCAGCUCGUGUUGUGAAAUGUUGGGUUAAGUCCCGCAACGAGCGCAACCCUUAUCCUUUGUUGCCAGCACGUAAUGGUGGGAACUCAAAGGAGACUGCCGGUGAUAAACCGGAGGAAGGUGGGGAUGACGUCAAGUCAUCAUGGCCCUUACGAGUAGGGCUACACACGUGCUACAAUGGCAUAUACAAAGAGAAGCGAACUCGCGAGAGCAAGCGGACCUCAUAAAGUGCGUCGUAGUCCGGAUUGGAGUCUGCAACUCGACUCCAUGAAGUCGGAAUCGCUAGUAAUCGUAAAUCAGAAUGUUACGGUGAAUA